rnacentral:rRNA from 1 species
UACGGGGGGGUAAGCGUUGUUCGGAAUUACUGGGCGUAAAGGGCUCGUAGGCGGCCAACUAAGUCAGACGUGAAAUCCCCUCGGCUUAACCGGGGAACUGCGUCUGAUACUGGAUGGCUUGAGGUUGGGAGAGGGAUGCGGAAUUCCAGGUGUAGCGGUGAAAUGCGUAGAUAUCAGGAGGAACACCGGUGGCGAAGGCGGAUCUCUGGGCCUUACCUGACGCUCGAGGCGCGAAAGCGUGGGGAGCAAACGGG